GCCAACUUCUUCUAUGAACUGUGGCAAAAAUUACAGAUUUCAGACACAAAUAAUGAAAUGCUUUCCGUCUAGUGCAGCGUUUCCCAAACCAGUCCUCAAGAUCCACCAACAGUCCAGGUUUUGUUAGUAUCUCCAUUGGAAUAAAACAGGGAAUUCCAUAAAUCCUGGAGUGUUGGUGGGCCAUGAGGACUGGUUUAGGAACCACUGGCUAAUGUGUUGCUUUAGAGUCAUG